GAUAACCAUGCUUUUUGUUGCAUUUGUCCACUGUGUGUCCCAACAUACCAUAAAAACUACAUAUAGGCUUCUUUCUUUGAGCAUUAGGACCAGUACUCGAAUUGUAAUGUGAUUGAAAUGGAGCAGGUAACAGACCAGAAGUAGAGUUGCAAGAAGUUCCAGGAUUGGAAAAAUUUUAAAAUUGAGAAGCUGCAUUAGUAUUGCCUUUGCUAUGACAAACUGUUGG
rnacentral:lncRNA from 1 species